rnacentral:rRNA from 1 species
GGUUUAGAACGUCGCGAGACAGUUCGGUCCCUAUCUGGUGUGGGCGCAGGAGACUUGAGGGAAUCUGGCCUCAGUACGAGAGGACCAGGCUGGACCAGCCUCUGGUGUACCGGUUGUCACGCCCGUGGCAGCGCCGGGUAGCUAGGCUGGGUAGGGAUAACCGCUGAAGGCAUCUAAGCGGGAAGCCCGACCCAAGAUAAGGUCUCCCUGAAGGGCCCUGGUAGACGACCAGGUUGAUAGGCCGGAGGUGGAAGCGCCGCAAGGCGUUAAGCUGACCGGUACUAAUCGCCCGUUCGGCUUGACCACAA